AGUUACUCUUAGUGUCUUGCUCUCGGGUACAGCGUAAAAUGAAGUUUAUAAAGCGAGUACUUUUGCAUUGUGUAAUAAAAGUAAUUAUGUACAUUUAAAUGUUGUGUACGGCAUUGUAAGUGAGGUACGAGCUUUACCCAUAUUUAUAUUUUGUACGUGCGUCUGCGAAGUGUUGGUAUACCGCCAUAAUGAGGGAGAUCAAUAAGUUCGGAAGAGCAACAGAAAGAAAAACAUCCCGGUUCUAGUCGCACCUGGACUGCAUGUCGCGAUCAUUUUAAAGACGAUGAGUUGGAUUGGCAUUGAUAGUCUCUGCUUCCUACAUCGGCCAGACGCUUCUUCAGACAUUAUACUCAGUAGCAGAAAUGCCGUCAUUCUUCUGUCCAGCAUACUAUUUACCGGCGUUUUGUAUAAAGUCAUUAACGAACGCUUGUCAACUUGGAUUGCCGCUGAAAUACACACGCUUAUCUGACCGCUGUUGAAUCGGAAUUCGUUGCUAAAUUAUCGGAUGAAGAUGAAAGGUCGGAAAAUGGCAGUCCCUUUGGCACGGCCCACCACAAGUAUUUUUCAGACAGCUCAUGGACUACGGUAUUUUAGCAAACGUAAAGCUGAACGACAUAUUGAACACAUAGUUUUGAACAGUGAUUGUCCCAUUACCGUCGUGUGUACAUUUUUGUUCCAAGAAUAGAUAGGAUGACAGAAACGCGUUCAAUUCUGAUCCUGACAGUGAAGCCGGCGAACGAGAACAUAAGGAAUUAUGCAACUGUUGUAUGUGCACGGCCAAAAUAAGACACCAGCUACCUGUUAAUGAACCUUGUAUGUAAAUGGGGGCCGUCGAAGUGGUCAAUUUCGACUUCAUAACUACAGUUCAAGGAAGCUGUAGCACUUGUCAUAACAAUGAGUAGAUAGACAUUGUGGACACAGAGAAUAUUUGUUUGAGAAAUUGUUAUUAGAAAAUCUUUGGAGGGACUGCAACAAAGGCUUCAGAAGGAUAAGAAAAGCAGCACUAACAUACUGACACGCAUUCAACACAAUGAACUUGAUCAGUUCAGAGUUAUUGUUUUGGACAAAUACACGGUUGUUAACCAGCUUCUCCGCUGACAACACAGUACCCCCAUACUUUCGCUUAUACUGGCGAGUCUGCAUUUUGUGACAUCUAGGGGACAGUUCUAUUUUACAUAGCAUUGGGUGUCUGGAUACUUUCGAUCAGGUGAGACAGACGAUCUUAUCUGGGUGGGAGCAGAAGAUUUGGCAUGCCCUGGAGGGUCUUCACUGACUGUGCCAGCGGUUGUGGCCAGGGGCUACAAAAAUGCGGGUGAAACUUCUCUCGUAAAGGUGCUGGACAUUGGUACGGUACAUUUCUUUGGAUAUGCCAAAGCAGCUGCUAUAGCUAUUUCACACUACACUGGAGGAUGCAAUGUUGGCAGAUAUCUUCCAUGUCUGAUACGUCAACUGUUGUGACUCGGAGGGCAGACUGCCACUUUGGACAAGACACUUAAGUCUCUUAAUCUCAGUCCAGAGCUGCUCAAAAAUGUCACAGUAGUGAAGAAUGAGAUUCACUUGUUGCCCACAGAAAUGGCCAGUGAGUGCGGGAGUGUCUAUCUGCCGGUCUCCGCCACACACACAGCUGGGUUGGAUGCUCUCUAAAAGAAGAUAGAGGGGCAGUUAUGCGCGCAGUGGCUAGGACCUCGAUGGCCGUCAGUGUGUCCUCCGGAGGGUAGGAAUCCCACCAGCUGUACGAGGAGGUGGCUGUCGUCGGUGUGAACACCGUCCCGCAGUAGGAACGGUAAGUCUACGUCGAGGUCGUCAUCUCCAAAGAGCAGCUCGACCAGUUCGAAGGGAGGUUCCUAUGCGGUAGGCCGUACUGCCUUGAGUGACCAGUAUGUGAGAAACCACUGUUUUGGAGGUACUGAAAUUUAGCACCUGACAUUUGCUGUUGUGCCUCCCAUAUAUUAUGUAAAAUGGACUACAGUACAGAUUGUUUUUCCGUAUAUUGUUACCAUCACCUGCAGUGACACAUGGAAGGAAAUUGGCUGUUACUGUUAAUAAGUUAAUGUUGUUGCAGGUAUUAUCCAUUUUAAAAUUUUGUAUUUAUAUUAGGUGUAAAAAUGAGGAUUUGAAUUGUUUCUGUAAUGACAGUAAUAUUUAUCUAACAUGACUUGCUUUGUGUUGUGGUAUGUUUAUAACAAGCUUCACUCUUAUAAUAAUGAGUUAGACAAUAAGCCCAGAGCAUAUUGUUUUCAUGAUUGGUGACUGUAGCUGUGAAACUACCAUAGGCUACCAGCGGCACGCAUAGUCUGUAUGGCAGUUUUCCUAGCUUUGGUCAGUUUAGGUUGUACCCACAUUAUCUGUACAUCAGGUGUGUUACAUACCUAUUGAGUGUUACCUCAUAACAGUCACUUCUUUACAUAUGCGAACGGUGUCUUGCUGCCCCAUAAACUGGAAGCGGUUUUCCAUCUAGAAAUUGACUGAGGAUAUGUUAAUGGAUAGGUAACAUACGGAACAUUUUUUUUCUACGUGGUUAUCCUCCUGUCUGCUAUAUAAGAAUAAACAGUAUUGACAAAAUAACUGACAUCGAUGUAUAAUUCGGAUUUUAUCUGAAAAUAGUUGAUUUGUAACAUAAAAUAGAGGGAUGUUGGAGUAAAACUGAAGAAAACCAUAGAGAUUUAUCAUAUAGCACUAGAAAUUUAUCAUAUAGAACUAGAAAACACAAUUUCCUCAACAAAAAGAUAAAAAGGCUGAUAUUGUCAGCGUUUAAUUCAAAUGUUAUUUGAAAAUUGUAGAUCUGUAACGUAAAAGCAGAGGGAUACUGUAGUAAAACUAAAGAAAACAGUACAGAUUUACCAUAUAGUCCUAGAAAACACAAUUUCCAUAA